CAGAGCUCGCAUACCUGCGGCUAGCUAGCAUCAGAUACAGUUUCAGCUGGUCGGCGCAGCUAGCCUUGCCCUGCUGGUGGUUCCUUGUCUUCACUCCAAAAAUAUCUACAAUGUAUACCAAAACCUAACAUGCUUGAAGAUGUAGAAGAUCCUCGCUAUCCAUCCACCUUCGCAGCUUCUUUUGCCUCACAAUUACCUCUGUCACAAGCCCUAUCAAACACCGUGCCUGAUUAUGGUGCAGCUGACAGCACUGGGGACACUUUGCCUCAAUUGAAGCUGUUAUUCAACCCUUAGACACAACCACUUGCCUGUUAAUUACCUGCUAUGAAAGAAAUUACAUAUUGUGAGCUACUAGCAAAGGAACAACUUCAACACUGCAUCAAAUGGCUCGACCAAAGUUAUCAGUGGAGCAAUAUUCACCUGGUUUCCCCAAAACAAAACAGCACAUCCCAAAGAAUGGUGAACUCCAGUUGAAAAGACAUGCGAUUUUGAAAUAACCAUGGUCAUUUCAGACAUCUUGCGGGAGAAUUAAAAGGGGCAAGAACAGUCAGUGAUUUAGAUACAUUUUACCAUCAGGAGCAUUCACUGCAUUGCACAGUAUGUAACUGAAUAGUUGCAGAGAAACUGGACUCUAUGUAACUAUACUAGACAUGACAAGUACAGAAGUACUAGCUAGUAAUGGACAAGGAAUUUUACUCACGUGAGCAGUUCAAAACCAAAUCCAAGUAAGUUUUCCUCAAGUGUAUCCAACCAGCCCUUCAAAUGCUGCACCUAGACCACAAGGCCAUCCAAAACUGCACCACUCCGACAAUUCUGGGAGUUACAGUCAGAUCUCAAAUGGAAUUUCCAAGUGUUUGAUAUGAUAUCAAGUGCCGGCAAGCGACUAUACAUUUACGACAUCUCAGAGUAUCAUGUGAAGAUCUAGCAGACAUCUUCUCGACAUAUAUCCGAUCUUCGCUAGAAUACGCUUCUCCAGUUUGGUCCACAUCAAUUUCCCGAACAGUUAUCUUGCAGUCUGAAGAAAGUGCAGAAACGUGUCUGCUGUAUUAUCCUUGGAUAAGAACAGUUGUAUGAAACCACUCGUUUCUCUCCAGAGUCUAACUUCUUGCCGUCUUGUCCUUCUUGAAUCCUUUUCUCUCAAACUGUUUAAGUCAUCACGAGAUCGAAUUAUGUUCUAUCGCCAACUCGUCGCCAAA